rnacentral:siRNA from 1 species
AGCCGUUGGUGAUUUAGCUGCAGC